rnacentral:misc_RNA from 1 species
GAUGAAGAACGCAGCGAAAUGCGAUAAGUAAUGUGAAUUGCAGAAUUCAGUGAAUCAUCGAAUCUUUGAACGCACCUUGCACCCUUUGGCAUUCCGAAGGGUAUGCUCGUUUGAGUGUCAUUGUACUCUCACUCUCCCGAUGCUUUUGGAUCGGGAGUGGUGGACUUGGGUGUUGCUUCUUUGCUGUGGCUCGCCUCAAAUGGAGUAGUGCAACUCUUGGUUGGACAUAGUACGGCGUGAUAAGUGUCUUCGCCGGCGCCUCAUUAUAGAGGGUGGCCGAUCGGGAGCUCUGUGCUUCAAACCGUCUUCGGACAACAUCUGACAACUUGACCUCAAAUCGAGUAGGACUACCCGCUGAACUUAAGCAUAUCAAUAAGCGGAGGA